AGUGAACGCUGGCGGUAGGCCUAACACAUGCAAGUCGAACGGCAGCACAGUAAGAGCUUGCUCUUACGGGUGGCGAGUGGCGGACGGGUGAGGAAUACAUCGGGAUCUACUUUUUCGUGGGGGAUAACGUAGGGAAACUUACGCUAAUACCGCAUACGACCUACGGGUGAAAGCAGGGGAUCUUCGGACCUUGCGCGAUUGAAUGAGCCGAUGUCGGAUUAGCUAGUUGGCGGGGUAAAGCCCACCAAGGCGACGAUCCGUAGCUGGUCUGAGAGGAUGAUCAGCCACACUGGAACUGAGACACGGUCCAGACUCCUACGGGAGGCAGCAGUGGGGAAUAUUGGACAAUGGGCGCAAGCCUGAUCCAGCCAUACCGCGUGGGUGAAGAAGGCCUUCGGGUUGUAAAGCCCUUUUGUUGGGAAAGAAAAGCAGCAGGUUAAUACCCCGCUGUUCUGACGGUACCCAAAGAAUAAGCACCGGCUAACUUCGUG
rnacentral:rRNA from 1 species